GACGAACGCUGGCGGCGUGCUUAACACAUGCAAGUCGAACGGAAAGGCCCUGCUUUUGUGGGGUGCUCGAGUGGCGAACGGGUGAGUAACACGUGAGUAACCUGCCCUUGACUUUGGGAUAACUUCAGGAAACUGGGGCUAAUACCGGAUAGGAGCUCCUGCUGCAUGGUGGGGGUUGGAAAGUUUCGGCGGUUGGGGAUGGACUCGCGGCUUAUCCGCUUGUUGGUGGGGUAGUGGCUUACCAAGGCUUUGACGGGUAGCCGGCCUGAGAGGGUGAACGGGGACAAGAGGACUGAGAGACGGAGCAGACUCGAACGGGAGGCAGCAGUGGGGAGUAUUGCACAAUGGGCGGGAGCCUGAUGCAGAAGCGCCGGGUGCGGGAUGACGGGCUUCGGGUUGUAAACCGCUUUCGCCGGUGACGAAGCGUGAGUGACGGUAAUGGGUAAAGAAGCACCGGCUAACUACGUG
rnacentral:rRNA from 1 species